rnacentral:rRNA from 1 species
AGAGUUUGAUCCUGGCUCAGGACGAACGCUGGCGGCGUGCUUAAUACAUGCAAGUCGAACGAGGGCCCGGAGCUUGCUCUGGUGACCCGAGUGGCGGACGGGUGAGUAACACGUGACCAACCUACCUUCGGGAGGGGGACAACCUGGGGAAACCCGGGCUAAUACCGCAUAUCGUCCAUGGGCCGCAUGGCCUGUGGAUAAAAGGGAGCCUCUGCUUGCAUGCUCUCACCCGAAGAGGGGGUCGCGGCGUAUCAGCUAGUUGGUGGGGUAAUGGCCUACCAAGGCAUCGACGCGUAGCGGGUCUGAGAGGACGACCCGUCACAUUGGGACUGAGAUACGGCCCAGACUCCUACGGGAGGCAGCAGUAGGGAAUAUUGCGCAAUGGCCGAAAGGUUGACGCAGCGACGCCGCGUGUGGGAGGACGCCCUUCGGGGUGUAAACCACUGUCAGGGGGGAAGAACUUCGUAGGCGUGAAUAGCGCUUACGGUUGACGGUACCCCCAGAGGAAGCGCCGGCUAACUCCGUGCCAGCAGCCGCGGUAAGACGGAGGGCGCAAGCGUUGUUCGGAUUUACUGGGCGUAAAGGGCAGGUAGGUGGUCUGUUAAGUCUUCUGUGAAAAUCCGGGGCUCAACCCCGCGAAAUGCAGGUGAAACUGGCAGACUGGAGACCGGUAGAGGCUAGCGGA